rnacentral:rRNA from 1 species
UACGGGGGGGGUAAGCGUUGUUCGGAAUUACUGGGCGUAAAGGGCUCGUAGGCGGCCAACUAAGUCGGAUGUGAAAUCCCCAGGCUCAACCUGGGAACUGCAUCCGAUACUGGAUGGCUUGAAUUCGGGAGAGGGAUGCAGAAUUCCAGGUGUAGCGGUGAAAUGCGUAGAUAUCUGGAGGAAUACCGGUGGCGAAGGCGGCAUCCUGGACCGACAUUGACGCUGAGGAGCGAAAGCCAGGGGAGCAAACGGG